AGUCGAGCGGCAGCGCGGGGCAACCUGGCGGCGAGCGGCGAACGGGUGAGUAAUACAUCGGAACGUACCCAAUCGUGGGGGAUAACUAUCCGAAAGGAUAGCUAAUACCGCAUAAGUCCUGAGGGAGAAAGCAGGGGAUCGCAAGACCUUGCGCGGAUGGAGCGGCCGAUGUCGGAUUAGCUAGUUGGUAGGGUAAAGGCCUACCAAGGCGACGAUCCGUAGCUGGUCUGAGAGGACGACCAGCCACACUGGAACUGAGACACGGUCCAGACUCCUACGGGAGGCAGCAGUGGGGAAUUUUGGACAAUGGGCGCAAGCCUGAUCCAGCCAUUCCGCGUGAGUGAAGAAGGCCUUCGGGUUGUAAAGCUCUUUCGGCAGGGAAGAAACGGUGCGGGCUAAUACCUCGCAUUAAUGACGGUACCUGAAGAAGAAGCACCGGCUAACUACGUGCCAGCAGCCGCGGUAAUACGUAGGGUGCGAGCGUUAAUCGGAAUUACUGGACGUAAAGCGUGCGCAGGCGGUUUUGUAAGACAGAUGUGAAAUCCCCGGGCUUAACCUGGGAACUGCGUUUGUGACUGCAAGACUCGAGUACGGCAGAGGGGGGUGGAAUUCCACGUGUAGCAGUGAAAUGCGUAGAGAUGUGGAGGAACACCGAUGGCGAAGGCAGCCCCCUGG
rnacentral:rRNA from 1 species